rnacentral:rRNA from 1 species
AGUGAACGCUGGCGGUAGGCCUAACACAUGCAAGUCGAACGGCAGCACAGUAAGAGCUUGCUCUUACGGGUGGCGAGUGGCGGACGGGUGAGGAAUACAUCGGAAUCUACUUUUUCGUGGGGGAUAACGUAGGGAAACUUACGCUAAUACCGCAUACGACCUACGGGUGAAAGCAGGGGAUCUUCGGACCUUGCGCGAUUGAAUGAGCCGAUGUCGGAUUAGCUAGUUGGCGGGGUAAAGGCCCACCAAGGCGACGAUCCGUAGCUGGUCUGAGAGGAUGAUCAGCCACACUGGAACUGAGACACGGUCCAGACUCCUACGGGAGGCAGCAGUGGGGAAUAUUGGACAAUGGGCGCAAGCCUGAUGCAGCCAUGCCGCGUGGGUGAAGAAGGCCUUCGGGUUGUAAAGCCCUUUUGUUGGGAAAGAAAAGCAGCGGGUUAAUACCCCGCUGUUCUGACGGUACCCAAAGAAUAAGCAACGGCUAACUACGUG